GAGUAACACGUGAGCAACCUGGCUCUAAGAGGUGGACAACAGUUGGAAACGACUGCUAAUACCGCAUAACGUAUCGGGAUGGCAUCUUCCUGAUACCAAAGAUUUUAUCGCUUAGAGAUGGGCUCGCGUCUGAUUAGAUAGUUGGCGGGGUAACGGCCCACCAAGUCGACGAUCCAUAGCCGGCCUGAGAGGGUGGACGGCCACAUUGGGACUGAGACACGGCCCAGACUCCUACGGGAGGCAGCAUG
rnacentral:rRNA from 1 species